rnacentral:rRNA from 1 species
GACGGAGGAUGCAAGUGUUAUCCGGAAUCACUGGGCGUAAAGCGUCUGUAGGUGGUCAAAUAAGUCAACUGUUAAAUCUUGAGGCUCAACCUCAAAAUCGCAGUCGAGACUAUUAGACUAGAGUAUAGUAGGGGUAAAGGGAAUUUCCAGUGGAGCGGUGAAAUGCGUAGAGAUUGGAAAGAACACCGAUGGCGAAGGCACUUUACUGGGCUAUUACUAACACUCAGAGACGAAAGCUAGGGUAGCAAAUGGG